CGGAAAGGUCCCAGCGUCUAGGCGAGGUGGAAGCAAGGGGGGAAAGUGCCAAACAGCUGAGCGGCUCCGGAGUGUGACGUCAGAGACGCUGUAGAGGAGAGAGGAUCCGACUCACAAACUUGGAACACCUUUGAUGUAUUGCUGACCAAGUCUACAUCUAUGUGCUGUGCGUACCUUCCCCAGUGAGCUGGACCACUACAAAGUUCCAGUCUGCCCACUAGCACCAUUGGGUGCGCUGCGUUUGAUCUAGGAAGAGCUGCCGAGGUUGGAAAGGUCCUAGCAACUAGGCAAGGUAGAAGCAAGGGGGGAAUGCGCCAAACAGCUGAGUGGCCGGAGUGUGACGUCAGAGACGCUGUAGAGGAGAGAGGAUCCGACUCACAAACUUGGAUGCAACCUCCUUCCAAUCCAGGGAUGUAAGGAAGAUUUUGGAUUUCAACCUUUCUACGAAUUCUCAAGACAAUCACCUUCUCCCUCAGCUCCAGACUCCAUCAGUUUCAAGAGUUCCAGUUUUUUCAAGUUUCCUGGAUUUUCUUCAGUAUACCUCUCUUAUGUGGUUCUCCUAGUUUUCAGUAUUUUUUGUCUCCUUUCGGAGUUUUGUUUUUUCUUAUUUCCCAUGCUGAUUUUUCUCCUUUAAGCAAAUAGAAGAGGACUAAUAACGGUUUUCUGGUUUCUUUAUGGACAAUGUCAUGAUCUGAUUGGAUAUCUACUAACUGUCAAUAUGUUAUUUACAUGUUAUUGGUCAUGUUAAAGUUUUUUCUGUUAUUUCUGUUUAACUUUAAAAAUGCUAUUUGAGUAAUAAAAGGAAAAGUAAUGCAAAA